GAUUGGCUAGAUUGAAUAAGUCACUGCACCAUGUUUAUAUCUUUUAUUUUACUUAAAUGAUGUAUUUUAAACGCACUGUAUUUACUUGUUUUUGGUGAGUUAGUUCUAUUUUUAAAUUGAAUUCAGAUACAUGAUAUGCCCUAAAAAAGAAAAAGGGGAACCCAGAAAAAAUUACAAAGAAAUUUAUAUGCCCUACCCAAAUUCCCCCUGCCGCUCACCCAAAUUCUCCCAAAUACCGGUUCCCUCCAAAUUCUAUUUUUCCAUUAAAUCAUAUUCACGCUUCCUAACCCCAUUCACUUCGGAUUCAUGCCCAUGUCUCCUCUCGAAUCUUCAGGGAACUGUUUUUUAGGGUUUAGUUUCGUUCUUUCUCUUUCUUUGUAUCUCUAUUUUAAUCUCUUGUGAAGUACCCAACUGUGAAGUGCGACAAUCAACAGGCAACCUAUAAUUAGUCUCAUGACCUAUUCAGACUUCUAGGCUUCAUUCUCAGAAUCCAAUGCUGUGAAACUCUAAUGAGUUUUUGGACGUUCCUCUCUAUUUUCCCCUCAUUUUUUCUACUUUGGAUUGUAAGUUAGUUGAUCUAUGGUUGUGGUUUUUUUUUUUGUUUGCAAAUGGGUAUUCUUUUCUCGAGGGAUAUGAUUGUUUCUUGGAUCAAACCGAUGAUUCUUUGAUUAAAAGUUAAGAUAUUUUUACU